UCUCAAUAACGUUCCGUAAGAAUUAUGUAUUGACUCUUUCAAUUUUGCACGCCUGACCAAUUUAAAUCAACACACUACUCACAUUUUCAAUUCCAAUCGCUGUGCCCGCUGUAUACGGCAGGUAGAUUUUAAUCGAUAACGCAGCCUAUUACACCGUAAUGCCUUCUUCUGAUUGGUUGAUAUUUAAAUAUUUCAUAACAUGGCGAGAGGUCAGUGAUUGUAUUGCGAUUUAAGCAGAAGUUUAACUGAAACAAAUUAUGCCUUUUAACUUCAAAUCGACGCUAUUUGAGGGUAUGUACUUGUGAAGGCCUGGCUGAAAAUCGAUUGGAGUUCGCCAGUGAUGUCUUCUAUCGUUUUCUGUGAUUGGGGGUCAGGUUUUGUGUCUACCCCCCAAGUGGCCUAGUGGGAAUGACUGUUAGCCUCGUGGAAGAUGUUCGUAUUGUUGGGUGGUAGGGAGCUCUUGCUUCCAGAUUGAGCGUCCUAAUUGGAUUGAGUGUCACAGGGUUGUUGGAUACUAUUCGCUGGCGUCUGGGAACGAAAGGGAGUUCUUUGCGAUAUUGGUGCGUGCCUGCGUGUGUGGACUGCCAUUGGAGUAUUGGGAGACACUGAUUGUGACCUUCUAGGAACGUGAUUAGCACUAGACACUGGUGCUUGUGUUAUUUCCUUUGGGAAGUCUUUCUUGAUGCUGAAGGAUAAAUUUCGUAGCCGGUUUGCGUGAGAAAGUAUAUACACUGUGCUUUGGAAGUCUAAAAAGUUCACAAUGAUGCCUUGUGUUGGACCCUUGGUGAAUUUUCCUAGUCGGUGUGCACGCUGUAUUUAAGGACACUGCAUAAUACUUAGUUGUACAGCGAGCAAUUGCGAAAUGACAUUUUAUCAGUUUUCAUCUCUGUGUUUAGUGAUGCCACUGAAAAUUAGAUUGUUCCUUUUGCUACGUCCCUCAAUGUCAUUUGAUUUAUAUUCACGCAGUUUAAGACGUGCGUUAUGGUCAGUUAUUGUCCCUUCAAUGGAAUGAAUUUUGGUGUGCAAUUUUAAGCAUUAUUAACCUUGUUUUCCAUAUUUCUCAUUUGUUUGAACAUUACUGACAUUUUUGUUUUUUGUCGGAAAAUAGCUUUGAUCGCUAAUGUUAACUGUUUGUAAAAACCGACUUUAAAUAAAGUUUCUUGUAUUGUAUUUGAUUGAUUAUAAUUCAUUUAAACAAUGUCAUGUA